AGGUUACCUCCCUGUUUCUCUCCGGGACCCAUCAAGAUAUCUCUGCCUCUAAUAAUCGCCUGGAUAGAAAUUUCCAUCUUAGCCCAAAGCAGCUCAACCUGGUUUUGACUAACGCCCCAUCUCCCUUUUUUUGUGUUCCUCUAAGUCAACAAGAGGACCUGGACGAGUCAGACCCUGUGUGGGAAGAUUGGAGAAAAGAAGGAAGGUGUGUCCUUUACCUGAAAACACUUUUCAAGAGGGAAGACAAUGUAUGUGCCCUAUGGAAGAUCUGGAUUAAGUCUUCCGGGAGUUCAGAGAAAAGAUGAAACCUGCCAGGAAGACAAGAGGAGCAAAAUUCAAAUCGGAGAAUACAAUUCUUCCCUCGCGUAAUAACAAUAUCAUACAUACCUCCCCCUGCAGCCCCCACCCCAAGCCCAAACAACCCAAACCAAAACAAGUGAUAAGAGCUAAGAUGAGCAGAUCCCGUGUUGUUUCUGGCCCGACUGCUUUGGGGGUAUUAAAGGAACUUUGUGAAAGUCUACUAGGGAAGUGAGGCAGAGGGUUUGUCCUCUUCAAUUUUUUUAAUCGCUUCAGCCCUGAGAACAGAACUAUAUACACAGUUUAUGGAACUGAAACAGAUCAAAAUAACUUGUCAGCUGACCUGUCCUCAUCACGUUGUAAACGGCGCAGGACAAUCAGCUUCUGGACAGUUAGACAGAGUCGUCUGUCGUUCAGACAUUGUUUUUAACAGUGUCAAAAGCACAGUGUUGUGAUUCCUUUGGGUGAUACACUUUCCUGGGAUGAAAAGAUUACUUUUCAUAUAGAUAUGGAAGAAGAUGUCUGCCCUCAUUUUGAACUUAAAAUUGGUACGGCUUUACAAACAAGAACAACUCUCACCAGGGAGAUGUUUUCCCAGUCUGCUGUCUGGGAGGAAGAGGCAUACUGCAGGAAAUGGACAAUCUUGACCACUACACAAACAAAUAGUUUCCUUACAGGCAACUCACCCUGACCCUAGAUACGCACUACUCUCCGUUUUAGUUCUUCGGAUGCACUUAGAUAUCUGCUACUUAAACAGGACACAGAAAUCCUACUAUCUUUCAUGAGUGUUGCUUAAAGCUUUAUUAAAUUGCUUCAUGUAUAAAUCAA
rnacentral:lncRNA from 1 species